rnacentral:lncRNA from 1 species
GAAAGAGAGAAUCACAAUUAAAGAAAUUAGUCCUACUCUGCAACGUCGGACACUUUAAUAGUAACUGGGGAGCGAUUGCGUUCAGGGAGAUCGAGGACAAGUAUCCUGGCCAGAUCCUGACAUGUUUUCCCGGUUGGAAAAUUGAGAGUGUAAUGUUAACAGUAAAGUUUAACCUUUUAAGCUGGUGGAGGAAGUUCAGACCACACCUGAACUGGUACCUGAGAUGACAGCACUGAAUCUGAAGACAAAGAAGGAUCAAAUUAGAACUGACUAUUAUUAGUCACUACUUCAGAAAGUCUUUUUACCUUAUUUUGGUAUGUUUAGUUAUUACUAUGAUUUGUAUGACUUUUACAUGUGUUUGAAAAGUAACAGAAGCUAAAGGCCAUUGUACAACUGGGUAACAGUCCCGUUUUCGUUCUCUUGCAUUUGGUUUGCCAUUCUGUAGCUGUGACUCCAGCUUGCUUUAGUUGAGCCUUGUCAUUCUUCACUCUCUGCAAACCAUUCCACGGAUUUGUUUUUCUUCACAAAAUUAGUUUCAUUUUCUUUGUUUGAUUGAUGGUCAUUGGCUACUGAAAUAAAAUAUGCAUUUUAAGGUAAAUUGUAUGUAUUUUUUAAGAUAAAACUUUGUGUAUUUUAA